AUUGAACGCUGGCGGCAUGCCUUACACAUGCAAGUCGAACGGCAGCACGGAGCUUGCUCUGGUGGCGAGUGGCGAACGGGUGAGUAAUAUAUCGGAACGUACCCUGGAGUGGGGGAUAACGUAGCGAAAGUUACGCUAAUACCGCAUACGAUCUACGGAUGAAAGUGGGGGACCGCAAGGCCUCAUGCUCGCGGAGCGGC
rnacentral:rRNA from 1 species